AGAGUUGAUUCUGGCUCAGGAUGAACGCUAGCUACAGGCUUAACACAUGCAAGUCGAGGGGCAGCAUUGUCGAAGCUUGCUUGACAGAUGGCGACCGGCGCACGGGUGAGUAACGCGUAUCCAACCUUCCCCAUAGUAGGGCAUAGCCCGUAGAAAUGCGGAUUAAUACCCUAUGUAUUCCGAGGAUGACAUCUGAUUCGGAACAAAGGUUCACCGCUAUGGGAUGGGGGAUGCGUCUGAUUAGGUAGUAGGCGGGGUAACGGCCCACCUAGCCGACGAUCAGUAGGGUUCUGAGAGGAAGGUCCCCCACAUUGGAACUGAGACACGGUCCAAACUCCUACGGGAGGCAGCAGUGAGGAAUAUUGGUCAAUGGGCGAGAGCCUGAACCAGCCAAGUAGCGUGCAGGAUGACGGCCCUAUGGGUUGUAAACUGCUUUUAUACAGGGAUAAAGUCGGGGACGCGUUCCCCGUUUGCAGGUACUGUAUGAAUAAGGACCGGCUAAUUCCGUGCCAGCAGCCGC
rnacentral:rRNA from 1 species